rnacentral:lncRNA from 1 species
CACCACUGCUCUAGAGAACGGCAUCUACAGUGGCAACACUGACCACCCGUCCUAUUGCUGCUUCUGGUCCGUUGGUAGACUACCUAUGGAUGCUUAUCCUGGGCUUCAUCACUGCAUCUGUCCUGGCCUUCUCCGUGGGAGCCAGCGAUGUAGCAGAUUCUUUUGGUUCAGCCGUGGGAUCAGGUGUCCUGAAGCAAGCCUGCAUCCUAGCAGCGUGGGAUGGGCAAAUGCAGUGGGCGAUGAACUUUGGCGUCUUCUGGACGAGGAGCCAGGCUCUCCGCCCGCCACCCUUGAUUGGAGAAAAGAGGCCCUGAUGUCAUCCCCAGCAUCAGCCAUCUGCCUGCCACCAGCACGGGAGGCGUCUCAGCAGCCCCCUCCCAGGGGCCUUCUUUCUCGGCUUACGGAAUGGAGGGAAAAGCGUGAACAUCGAGAAACAGCAGACAAGCGACCCCCAGGCCUAGCGAAGGUGAGCUGUGUGUGUGUGUGCGUGUGUGUGCCCUUCUCUCUGCUGGACCUGUUGGCACCUUUCUCUUCCUCUCCACUCGGCUCCACGUAG